AUAUAUCAGCCUCCUCAGUGAGUGUUGGAUGUGGGGGUUGCUGGUCUCUUUUGAGGUCAGCUCCCCUAAAAUAUAUUAGCAGAACAAUGUGUUGACUGUUCAUUGGUGUGAUAACUAUCUACGCUAUUGACAUGAAGCAGGUUCAGCUUAUAACCAAGUCUAUUGACAUUAUUA
rnacentral:misc_RNA from 1 species